UACGGAGGGGGCUAGCGUUGUUCGGAAUUACUGGGCGUAAAGCGCACGUAGGCGGCUUUGUAAGUUAGAGGUGAGAGCCCAGGGCUUAACCCUGGAAUUGCCUUUAAGACUGCAUCGCUAGAAUUGUGGAGAGGUAAGUGGAAUUCCGAGUGUAGAGGUGAAAUUCGUAGAUAUUCGGAAGAACACCAGUGGCGAAGGCGACUUACUGGACACAUAUUGACGCUGAGGUGCGAAAGCGUGGGGAGCAAACAGG
rnacentral:rRNA from 1 species